GCCCAGUGAACAAUUAAACGGCCGCGGUACCCUAACCGUGCAAAGGUAGCAUAAUCAUUUGUCUAUUAACUGUAGACCUGUAUGAAAGGCAAAAUGAGGGUUUAACUGUCUCUUAUAAUAAAUCUAUUAAACUGAUCCCCCAGUAAAAAAGCUGGGAUACUCCCAUAAGACCAGAAGACCCUGUGAAGCUUUAACUAAACUAUUAAACUAAAUAAUAACUACUUUAGGUUGGGGCGACCUUGGAAAUAAAAAGAACUUCCAACAUAACAAAUAAUCAUUAAGGCCCACAAGCCAAUUAACGACCCAGUAAUACUGAUAAUUGAACUAAGUUACUCCAGGGAUAACAGCGCCAUCUUCUUCAAGAGCCCAUAUCAAAAAGAAGGUUUACGACCUCGAUGUUGGAUCAGGACACCCCAAUGGUGCAACCGCUAUUAAAGGUUCGUUUGUUCGACGAUUAAUGUCCUACGUGAU
rnacentral:rRNA from 1 species